rnacentral:rRNA from 1 species
UACAGAGGGGGCAAGCGUUGUUCGGAAUUACUGGGCGUAAAGGGCGCGUAGGCGGCCUGUUAAGUCGAACGUGAAAUCCCCGGGCUCAACCCGGGAACUGCGUCCGAUACUGGCAGGCUUGAAUCCGGGAGAGGGAUGUGGAAUUCCAGGUGUAGCGGUGAAAUGCGUAGAUAUCGUGAGGAACACCAGAGGCGAAGGCGGCUACCUGGACAAUUGCUGACGCUCAGGCACGAAAGCGUGGGGAGCAAAAGGG